rnacentral:tRNA from 1 species
GGAGGAGUCGCCUAGUCCGGCUUAUGGCGCUCGCCUGGAAAGCGGGUAAGGGAUGAAACCCUUCGAGAGUUCGAAUCUCUCCUCCUCCGCCA